rnacentral:rRNA from 1 species
CAGUCGCCGCGGUAAUACGUAGGUGGCAAGCGUUGUCCGGAAUUAUUGGGCGUAAAGGGCUCGCAGGCGGUUACUUAAGUCUGAUGUGAAAGCCCCCGGCUCAACCGGGGAGGGUCAUUGGAAACUGGGAAACUUGAGUGCAGAAGAGGAGAGUGGAAUUCCACGUGUAGCGGUGAAAUGCGUAGAGAUGUGGAGGAACACCAGUGGCGAAGGCGACUCUCUGGUCUGUAACUGACGCUGAGGAGCGAAAGCGUGGGGAGCGAACAGGAUUAGAUACCCCCGUAGUCCCUGUCUCUUAUAC